rnacentral:rRNA from 1 species
UACGUAGGAGGCGAGCGUUGUCCGGAUUUACUGGGCGUAAAGGGAGCGUAGGCGGAUUUUUAAGUGAGAUGUGAAAUACCCGGGCUUAACUUGGGUGCUGCAUUUCAAACUGGAAGUCUAGAGUGCAGGAGAGGAGAAGGGAAUUCCUAGUGUAGCGGUGAAAUGCGUAGAUAUUAGGAGGAACACCAGUAGCGAAGGCGGCUCUCUGGACUGUAACUGACGCUGAGGCACGAAAGCGUGGGGAGCAAACAGGAUUAGAUACCCUGGUAGUCCCU